UGUCGAGGGGCUCGGUGGCGGGGUCGAAGUCGUCCUCGUGGCGCGUGCGAGCAUGUGAGGUGUACUCGGCCAUCUUCUCAUAGGCGUUCGGGUUGGUGUACGCCUCGGCACACGUAACUCGACGUGUUCGUUCAGCGAGAUGGUCGAGAUUUUAUGUGAGGUCGUGGAUACGAACUCAAAAUACACCUAAUACCAUGAAUAUCAUUUUUUGAAACACUGCGUUGUGAUAUUUCAUGUACGUGCAGUUCAAAUUUAAAUUAUUCGGAAAAACACAAAGAAACAAAUUAAAUCAGUUAAAUAUAGCAAAAAAGUCAAAAUACCCCCAAACUUUAAACUAGGGUUUGAAACCGUGUCAAAAAGCCUGACAAAAAACUCAGAUCAAAAAAUAAAAAAAAUAAAAUGCUUUGCCGAGUGCCACAUAGGACACUCGGCAAAGAAGGCUUUGCCGAGCACCCUGCCAGCUAGCACUCGGCAAAGAACCAUCCUUUGCCGAGUGCCUAACAUUUGGAUCUCAGCAAAGAGGACGGCAGCCGCCGCCGUUAGCCGGCCAGGAACUUUGCCGAGAGCUCACCUUUGCCG
rnacentral:lncRNA from 1 species